GAAGCUGUGUUUGGCUCCCGCGGUGACCAUCAGAUGUCCUGUUGAAGCUCGUCGCCCUGCUCGGUGUCUCACAGGAAGCAGGUACGAGGUUUCUCCGGGACGGAGACAACACGCCCGUCCCAACAAAGACGCGGUUGUUUCCUGAGAGGACGCGGUUACACACAUGGCUCAGGUGUCUGCACCUGAACGCAGCGUCUCAGCUGCAUACUGGGAGCUGGCCAAGCCGAAUUCCUGACGGCUGCUGUCUCUGCUCUGCUUCCAUGCUGUAGACCUGCACACAGGUCGACCUGUCAGUGAAGCUCCUCC